CAGAGGUCCCAAGCGUUGUUCGGAUUCACUGGGCGUAAAGGGUGCGUAGGUGGCGAGGUAAGUCGGAUGUGAAAUCUCCAAGCUCAACUUGGAAAUGGCAUUGGAAACUACCUUGCUAGAGGUUUGGAGGGGGGACUGGAAUUCUCGGUGUAGCAGUGAAAUGCGUAGAUAUCGAGAGGAACACCAGUGGCGAAGGCGAGUCCCUGGACAACACCUGACACUGAGGCACGAAAGCUAGGGGAGCAAACAGGAUUAGAUACCCUGGUAGUCCUAGCUGUAAACGGUGCUUGCUUGCUGUAAAAGGAAUCGACCCCUUUUGUGGCGAAGCCAACGCGAUAGGCAAGCCGCCUGGGAAGUGCGGUCGCAAGAUUA
rnacentral:rRNA from 1 species